UGUAUUGUUGUUCAAAAACUGAACAAAAUUGACGGAAAAAAUUGGCGGCAGUGGUGGUAUCUGUCAUUUUACCGGAAAUUUCGCCCGCCACCUUCGCCGAAAGACGCAUUUUUAAGCCGCCAGGGCAAGAUAUUUACUUUGUUUUAGAGUGUUGUCGGUGAUUUUUUGUUAAUAAAUACUCUAAUUAUUAUGGCUCCAAGGACAGCGAAGGGAAAGAAAGCUGCAGAUGUGAAAUUAGCUGAAAAUGAAGUACCCAAAAAGGGCAGAGGGAAGGCAAAAGCAGCUGAAGAGCCUGAGCCAGAUAAUGAUACAGAAGACAGUGAAAUGGUAAUUGUUGAAAAACAAAGCGCGGUAAGAAAGUUGCAAAUGAUGUGAAUGAACAAGAGCAAAAUGGUAAAAAGGAAGACGCUGCUCCUCCUGCCAAAAAAGGCAGAAAGAAAAAUGAGUCAGUACCUGAAGAAAAAUCUAAUGAUGAUCAGUCAGCUGAAGAAGAAUCUGUAGCCACAGAAGAAACUGAACAAAAUGAUGAUUCGAAUCAAAUGGUCAUGUAGAAGAGGCACAAGCACCUUCUGGUAGGGGUCGCAAAAAGCAAGCAAA